CGGCGCGCGGGCACGCUGUGUCCCAGGCAACCAAGUGACGUCAACAACGUCGAGGAAACGUCAGUAUUUGGUGGAAUAUAUACACGUGGUUGAACAUUACGUCAUAUCGACGUCUUUUGUUGGUGAUUUUAAAUACGUAAGAUUAAUGACGUUAAAAUACGUUUAAAAGACGUUUUUAUUUCAGCCAGCCUAAGUCUGACGUCACGAAAUUGGGAGGAGCUUGGAGCUUAAAAGUUACAAAACUAAGGUUAUGUUUGUUGUUUGUUUGUAUCGUUGUCGUUCGUUUGUCCUAGUCACGUCUUAGUAUUUUGCCUAUUUUGGAUUCAUUUGGAUUUUGUUGGCUGUUUUGCGUGUAUUUUUUAAAACUUUUGUUUGUCAUUUGUAAAUUUUAUAAAUUUACCACAAUGCAAAGUGAUUACCUAUUUAAGGAAAUUAUUAUUGGAAACUCCGCAGAUGUUUUAGAAAGAUAUUCAUUGAAGCUGAAAAUAAUUGGAGAUUUAGAUCCAUAUACAAUUCAGUCAUCAGAAUUGGAUUUUACAGUGCAUUCCAUCAAUUACUGUUAUAAUGCUAUUAUAGAUAGACUGGUAGAGUCUCACAGUUACUACUUUAAGCAGCAGAUGAAAGCAUACAAAAGCCUUCAGGCACAUAAAAGCCUUCACAACUGGAUUUGUUUUGAAACAUUUGAUGUUUUGAUGAUUUUUAUUUUAUUGUUGGAAAGGUGAAGAAUUCCCAAAAAGCUAAUGCUAAACCACUAGAUGCUUGGGUGAUAGCCAGUUCCAAUGGCAUAGCAAAUGCACAUUGUAUGUGUAUUGCCGGUAAUAGUGAAGUUUGCAGCCAUAUUGCAGCAAUCUUAUUUGCAGCUGAGUAUGCCCACAGCAAGACAGAAGAAGAAGAACCCAAUGCAUGUACAUAUGUUACAGCUAUGUACAUUCUCUGGUGAAAAACUAACGAGUUUUCAAACUGUUCGGUCAGAGUGCUUGUUGCGCUCUCUAAACGAACUGAAAUAUAAGACGGCUUUGGCUUCAUGUUGCAGCGAUAUGAAAAUGGUGUCUGUGGAUCUUUUUGUAUGCAACUAUUUGUAAUAAUUAUUUGAAAUCAUUUUGAGGAUUAUAAGAGUAUGGAAAUAUAAAUGUGAGAACACAGACUAUUAUAGUUUUGUCCUAUUUUUUAUCAUUCAAUCGUCUUCUUUAAAAUUUAUAAAUAUAAAGCAGAUAGUUUUCAUUGAAAUUCAAUAUAUUGGGUCUUAUUUGUAUGUAUUCAUUUUUGACUAAAGGUACGAUUCCGAUAACGACUGCAGACAGCAACUGCAAACAUCAGUUGCAGCUCUCGGCGUUAUGGACGUUACUACUUUGCACUAUUUAUCUGUAUGAGACUGAUUCCGACAUCUGACUGCAACUGCUGUCCGGCAGAAUGUCAGUUGCUAAUAAUUAUGCAAAUUAUUAGUGCAAAAUAAUGACGUCUGUCAUUGUGACAACUGUAACUGCCAUCUGCAGUCGUUGUCAGAAUCGUACCUUUAAAAUUUGUUGUAUAAUUAUAAUAAUUAUAUAUAUAUUAUAUAACUUAAAUGGUUUAAACUUAAGUUUGUUAUUACAUUGUGACUUAAAUGUUUAAUUUGUUAAUAAAUGAUUUAUUAGUUUA
rnacentral:misc_RNA from 1 species